CCUACGGGUGGCAGCAGUGGGGGAUAUUGCACAAUGGGGGGAACCCUGAUGCAGCGACGCCGCGUGGGUGAAGAAGCGCCUCGGCGCGUAAAGCCCUGUCAGCAGGGAAGAAAAUGACGGUAACUGAAGAAGAAGCCCCGGCUAACUACGUGCCAGCAGCCGCGGUAAUACGUAGGGGCCAGGGGUAUACGGGAUUUAGGGGGGGAAAAGGGGCGCAGACGGCGAUGCAAGCCUGGAGUGAAAAACCGGGGCCCCACCCCGGGACUGCUCUUGGAACUGCGUGGCUGGAGUGCAGGAGGGGCAGGCGGAAUUCCUGGUGUAGCGGUGAAAUGCGUAGAUAUCAGGAGGAACACCGGUGGCGAAGGCGGCCUGCUGGACUGCAACUGACGUUGAGGCCCGAAAGCGUGGGGAGCAAACAGGAUUAGAUACCCCGGUAGUC
rnacentral:rRNA from 1 species